rnacentral:rRNA from 1 species
CGCUAGCGGCAGGCCUAACACAUGCAAGUCGAACGGUAACAGGAAAUAGCUUGCUAUUUUGCUGACGAGUGGCGCACGGGUGCGUAACGCGUAUACAAUCUACCUUUUGCUGAGGGAUAGCCCAGAGAAAUUUGGAUUAAUACCUCAUGGUAUUAUUGAUAGGCAUCUAUUAAUAAUUAAAGGUUACGGCAAAAGAUGAGUAUGCGUCCCAUUAGCUAGUUGGUGAAGUAACGGUUCACCAAGGCAACGAUGGGUAGGGGUCCUGAGAGGGAGAUCCCCCACACUGGUACUGAGACACGGACCAGACUCCUACGGGAGGCAGCAGUGAGGAAUAUUGGACAAUGGGCGAGAGCCUGAUCCAGCCAUGCCGCGUGCAGGAAGACUGCCCUAUGGGUUGUAAACUGCUUUUAUACAGGAAGAAUAAGCCUUACGUGUAAGGUGAUGACGGUACUGUAAGAAUAAGGACCGGCUAACUCCGUGCCAGCAGCCGCGGUAAUACGGAGGGUCCGAGCGUUAUCCGGAAUUAUUGGGUUUAAAGGGUCCGUAGGCGGAUGAUUAAGUCAGGGGUGAAAGUUUGCAGCUCAACUGUAAAAUUGCCUUUGAUACUGGUCAUCUUGAGUUGUAUUGAAGUAGGCGGAAUAUGUAGUGUAGCGGUGAAAUGCAUAGAUAUUACAUAGAACACCAAUUGCGAAGGCAGCUUACUAAGUACUAACUGACGCUGAUGGACGAAAGCGUGGGUAGCGAACAGGAUUAGAUACCCUGGUAGUCCACGCCGUAAACGAUGGAUACUAGCUGUUCGGGACCUUGAGUUCUGAGCGGCU